UAUAAGGGAUUUUGAGUUUUUGCUUGCAACAUUUGACCACUCGUCUUAUUUAAAAUUUUUUAAAAUUAUUAUUUAUUUUAUUUGUGACUUACUUUAUUAUAUACAGUACUUUAAGCAUAACUUUUCGUUUUUUAUAUUUGUAAAAAAAAAAUUAAAUAAGACGAGUGGUCAAACGUUACAAGUAAAAACUCA
rnacentral:pre_miRNA from 1 species